UACGGAGGAUGCGAGCGUUAUCCGGAUUUAUUGGGUUUAAAGGGUGCGUAGGCGGACUGUCAAGUCAGCGGUAAAAUUGAGAGGCUCAACCUCUUCCCGCCGUUGAAACUGGUGGUCUUGAGUGGAUGAGAAGUACGCGGAAUGCGUGGUGUAGCGGUGAAAUGCAUAGAUAUCACGCAGAACUCCGAUUGCGAAGGCAGCGCACCGGCAUCCAACUGACGCUGAGGCACGAAAGCGUGGGGAUCAAGCAGG
rnacentral:rRNA from 1 species